rnacentral:sRNA from 1 species
GGUGCCGGCCUGGCCUCACAGUGCAGAGUUGGUUUGUUGCGGGGAUCCCUCGGAAUUGUCGUGCCUUCUACUGUGGCACGUUCUGCACGGAAGGUUGUGGUGCUCGGUGAACCCUUCAUGGGCAUAUAUGCAGAGCACGAAGGGGCGUAAGUCCCAUAAUCUGGUAGUGUGUUGUGGGUGGUUCCCAUGGCGGAAGCGAGGGUCUUGAUUGUGGCCUCUCAGUGCAGGUUUGGUUAAAGAUAAGGGCAUGUGACACUGUGUUGCUUGUUGGCUUGUGACUCUUAGAAGUGUGUUGGGGGGUCUGAUCUGGCUCACCCUUCAGAGUUUAGGAAUUCACGCAGUCCCUUAUUCAUGUGUUGCAUCUGGAAUCACUUGCCUCAUCAAGAUUGAUAUCUUGAAUUUUUGGUUUUCCACUUUGCUCUUCGAGGGUUGUGGAUCCGCAACUUGUGUGUGCGAUUAGUCGAAUUGGUGCAAAGUCCACGAUACACACAUAGUCCCUUAUUCAUGUGGUGCGUGGCCUAGCCUAUGGCACACUCACCCAAGCCAUGGCACGUGUGUCCGUCAGGGCAUCAUGGAUUGUGCCGCACGUCGGUUGAAAAUCAUUUGAGGUAAAUGCCUCGACCUUACAUGGACGUAACUCUGGG